AUCCAGAGGAUGUCUGAAUCACGACAGAUAGUAAUGAUAAUGUAAGAAUCAGACGACUUGGAAGAAUGGCUAUCAACAUGUUUGUUUGUGUUCUCGGAAGUUUGGAAAUGGCAGAUUGGUUUGUAAUGGAAUGAGGAGAUUAAACUGCUGGUGGGCAAUAAUGGAAUGGAAGUGGCCACUCAAAACGGGCACACGGCUCGCCGUUCCGGCAGCAAGUUCUUGGGAGGUCCAGGGAUCUCGGCUCCGGGUAGAUCGAUGUGUAAUGUGUGGCGGGGUUUCAUCUGGUGCUUGAGUCCCUGGUGUCGAUGUGAAUCGGUUCACGGGCAGUUGUUUAUUUAUUUAUAUAUAUAUAUAUAUAUAUACAUUUUUGCCAUUUCUGUUUAUAAUUCAGAAAAUGCUGUCUGAAUUAUUUUCAGGAAUUUUCAAGAAAAAUUUGAGAGACCCACCAACCACAGCCUGUCAAAAUUAAUCUGUGUAUAUAUAUAUAAAAUAUAUUCAGAAGCAGAAGCGGAUAAGAGAAGGAUGGACAAGGCGACAAAACUGGGAAGCAAUGAUUCUUACAUUUUACUAAGUUUAUUAUUAUUAUUAUUAUUACAUUUAGUAAACAAUGAUUAUCACAUUCUACUAAGUUUGUAAUAUAAUGUGUAUAGUAAUCAGUUUAAUAAUCAGUUACUUGACUAAGUUAGCGCCAAAUGUAAAACAUAUAAUCUAUAUAUAUAAU